rnacentral:rRNA from 1 species
UACGGAGGGUGCAAGCGUUACUCGGAAUUACUGGGCGUAAAGCGUGCGCAGGCGGUUUGUUAAGUCCGUUGUGAAAGCCCCGAGCUCAACUUGGGAAUUGCAGUGGAUACUGGCAGGCUGGAGUACGGUAGAGGAAGGUGGAAUUCCCGGUGUAGCAGUGAAAUGCGUAGAUAUCGGGAGGAACACCAGUGGCGAAGGCGGCCUUCUGGACCAGUACUGACGCUCAUGCACGAAAGCGUGGGGAGCAAACAGG